rnacentral:sRNA from 1 species
CAGGUAUAAGAAGAGAUUUCAUAAGUUUGAUGCAGACCAGAAAGGCUUUAUUACCAUUGUUGAUGUUCAGCGUGUAUUAGAGAGUAUCAAUGUCCAAAUGGAUGAAAAUACACUCCAUGAAAUUCUGAAUGAAGUUGAUUUAAAUAAAAAUGGACAGGUUGAACUCAAUGAAUUUUUGCAGCUGAUGAGUGCUAUUCAAAAAGGAAGGGUAUCUGGAAGCCGGCUUGCUAUACUAAUGAAAACUGCAGAAGAGAACCUCGACAGAAGAGUUCCAAUUCCAGUGGACCGUAGUUGUGGAGGAUUGUGAGUCUGGGCAGUAAAUCCACAGCCAACAAACAUAGAAACGACAAAUCACCAUGUAACAACCAGAGAUGACUGAAACCACUCUAAAAUAAUGAAUGUGGAUAGCUGCCUUUUUUAACACUAGAAAACAUUCC